rnacentral:rRNA from 1 species
GACGAACGCUGGCGGCGUGCUUAACACAUGCAAGUCGAACGGAGAGGCCCUGCUUUUGUGGGGUGCUCGAGUGGCGAACGGGUGAGUAACACGUGAGUAACCUGCCCUUGACUUUGGGAUAACUUCAGGAAACUGGGGCUAAUACCGGAUAGGAGCUCCUGCUGCAUGGUGGGGUUGGAAAGUUUCGGCGGUUGGGGAUGGACUCGCGGCUUAUCAGCUUGUUGGUGGGGUAGUGGCUUACCAAGGCUUUGACGGGUAGCCGGCCUGAGAGGGUGGCCGGCCACAUUGGGACUGAGAUACGGCCCAGACUCCUACGGGAGGCAGCAGUGGGGAAUAUUGCACAAUGGGCGGAAGCCUGAUGCAGCAACGCCGCGUGCGGGAUGACGGCCUUCGGGUUGUAAACCGCUUUCGCCUGUGACGAAGCGUGAGUGACGGUAAUGGGUAAAGAAGCACCGGCUAACUACGUG